AUGGAGAAGCAAUAAUCAACUGGAGGUAAAGAAGUUUUACUAAAAUGUGUUGCGCAAGCCAUUCUAGUAUUUGCUAUGUCCAUGUUUGCUCUACCAAAAGGCAUAUGUAAGGAUAUCACAUAUUUGAUAGCACAAUUUUGGUGGGGGGAUGACAAAGAGAAUAACAUGAUUCAUUGGUUCACAUGGUGGAAACUAUGUUAUCCUAAGAGUGUGGGGGGAAUGAGAUUUCGUGAUCUAUAUUCUUUUAAUCUCUCGUUGCUUGCAAAUCAAUGUUGGAGACUGAUUACUGCUCCUGAUUCCCUAUGUGCAAAGGUGUUAAAAGCAAAGUAUUAUCCUAAUGGGAGUCUUUUACAUGCAAGUGAAAAAAAUGGCUCGUCAUUCACAUGGCUGAGCAUUAUGAAAGGACUUGAGACUUUCAAACGGGGGUACAUCUGGAGGAUUGGCACGGGCGAGAAUGUGAACAUAUGGAGAGACCUUUGGAUUCCAGCAAGUCCAGACAGGAAAAUUAUAACUCCUCGUGGGCAUACGGUGCUGUCAUUAGUUAGUGAUCUCAUUGAUCCAAACUCAGGCUCGUGGGAUAAAGAGCUUAUCUGUAACAUCUUUAAUCCAGUUUAUGCAGAUUCCUUUGAAUAA
rnacentral:rRNA from 1 species